rnacentral:rRNA from 1 species
UUAGAGUUUGAUCCUGGCUCAGGAUGAACCCUAGCGGCAGGCUUAACACAUGCAAGUCGAGGGGCAGCGAGAUCAGUGCUUGCACUGAUUGUCGGCGACCGGCGCACGGGUGCGUAACGCGUAUGCAACCUACCCAUUACAGGGGGAUAACGCUGAGAAAUCGGUACUAAUACCCCAUAACAUCCAGGGAGGCAUCUUCUUGGGUUGAAAACUCCGGUGGUAAUGGAUGGGCAUGCGUUGUAUUAGUUAGUUGGUGGGGUAACGGCUCACCAAGACAACGAUACAUAGGGGGACUGAGAGGUUAACCCCCCACAUUGGUACUGAGACACGGACCAAACUCCUACGGGAGGCAGCAGUGAGGAAUAUUGGUCAAUGGACGCAAGUCUGAACCAGCCAUGCCGCGUGCAGGAAGACGGCUCUAUGAGUUGUAAACUGCUUUUGUACGAGGGUAAACGCAGAUACGCGUAUCUGUCUGAAAGUAUCGUACGAAUAAGGAUCGGCUAACUCCGUGCCAGCAGCCGCGGUAAUACGGAGGAUUCAAGCGUUAUCCGGAUUUAUUGGGUUUAAAGGGUGCGUAGGCGGUCGGAUAAGUUAGAGGUGAAAUCCCGGGGCUCAACUUCGGAAUUGCCUCUGAUACUGUUCGGCUAGAGAGUAGUUGCGGUAGGCGGAAUGUAUGGUGUAGCGGUGAAAUGCUCAGAGAUCAUACAGAACACCGAUUGCGAAGGCAGCUUACCAAGCUACUUCUGACGUUGAGGCACGAAAGCGUGGGGAGCAAACAGGAUUAGAUACCCUGGUAGUCCACGCAGUAAACGAUGAUAACUCGUUGUCGGCGAAUCAGUGUCGGUGAAUAAGGGAGAAAGUAAAAGUUUUCCACAUGGGGAAGUACAUUUCGCAAGAAUGAAACUCAAAGGAAUUGACGGGGGCCCGCACAAGCGGAGGAACAUGUGGUUUAAUUCGAUGAUACGCGAGGAACCUUACCCGGGCUUGAAAGUUAGUGACGGAUCUUGAAAGAGGUCUUCCCUUCGGGGCACGAAAAUAGGUGCUGCAUGGUUGUCGUCAGCUCGUGCCGUGAGGUGUCGGGUUAAGUCCCAUAACGAGCGCAACCCCUACCGUUAGUUGCCAGCAGGUCAAGCUGGGCACUCUGACGGGACUGCCGGUGUAAGCCGAGAGGAAGGUGGGGAUGACGUCAAAUCAGCACGGCCCUUACGUCCGGGGCUACACACGUGUUACAAUGGCAGGUACAGAGGGCAGCUACCCAGCGAUGGGAUGCGAAUCUCGAAAGCCUGUCUCAGUUCGGAUUGGAGGCUGAAACCCGCCAACAUGAAGUUGGAUUCGCUAGUAAUCGCGCAUCAGCCAUGGCGCGGUGAAUACGUUCCCGGGCC